rnacentral:rRNA from 1 species
GUAGAGGGAUACUUUGGGACCGUUCCUUGUCUAUGUUCCUUGGAACAGGACGUCAUAGAGGGUGAGAAUCCCGUGUGGCGAGGAGUGCGGUUCUAUGUAAAGUUCUCUCGAAGAGUCGAGUUGUUUGGGAAUGCAGCUCUAAGUGGGUGGUAAAUUCCAUCUAAAGCUAAAUAUUGGCGAGAGACCGAUAGCGAACAAGUACAGUGAUGGAAAGAUGAAAAGAACUUUGAAAAGAGAGUGAAAAAGUACGUGAAAUUGUUGAAAGGGAAGGGCAUUUGAUCAGACAUGGUGUUUUGCGCCCUCUGCUCCUUGUGGGUGGGGGACUCUCGCAGCUCACUGGGCCAACAUCAGUUUUGGUGGUGGGAUAAAUCCUUAGGAAUGUAGCUUGCAAAUUUUUUGUAAGUGUUAUAGCCUGGGGAAAUACCGCCAACCGGGACUGAGGACUGCGACUUUUGUCAAGGAUGUUGGCAUAAUGGUUAAAUGCCGCCCGUCUUG